rnacentral:rRNA from 1 species
GCCGGAGGCCACUGCUAUGGGGGUCCGACUAAGCCAUGCGAGUCAUGGGGCGCGCUCUGCGCGCACCGGCGGACGGCUCAGUAACACGUCGGUAACCUACCCUCGGGAGGGGGAUAACCCCGGGAAACUGGGGCUAAUCCCCCAUAGGCCUGAGGUACUGGAAGGUCCUCAGGCCGAAAGGGGCUUUUGCCCGCCCGAGGAUGGGCCGGCGGCCGAUUAGGUAGUUGGUGGGGUAACGGCCCACCAAGCCGAAGAUCGGUACGGGCCAUGAGAGUGGGAGCCCGGAGAUGGACACUGAGACACGGGUCCAGGCCCUACGGGGCGCAGCAGGCGCGAAACCUCCGCAAUGCGGGAAACCGCGACGGGGGGACCCCCAGUGCCGUGGCAUCGCCACGGCUUUUCCGGAGUGUAAAAAGCUCCGGGAAUAAGGGCUGGGCAAGGCCGGUGGCAGCCGCCGCGGUAAUACCGGCGGCCCGAGUGGUGGCCGCUAUUAUUGGGCCUAAAGCGUCCGUAGCCGGGCCCGUAAGUCCCUGGCGAAAUCUCACGGCUCAACCGUGGGGCUUGCUGGGGAUACUGCGGGCCUUGGGACCGGGAGAGGCCGGGGGUACCCCUGGGGUAGGGGUGAAAUCCUAUAAUCCCAGGGGGACCGCCAGUGGCGAAGGCGCCCGGCUGGAACGGGUCCGACGGUGAGGGACGAAGGCCAGGGGAGCAAACCGGAUUAGAUACCCGGGUAGUCCUGGCUGUAAAGGAUGCGGGCUAGGUGUCGGGCGAGCUUCGAGCUCGCCCGGUGCCGGAGGGAAGCCGUUAAGCCCGCCGCCUGGGGAGUACGGCCGCAAGGCUGAAACUUAAAGGAAUUGGCGGGGGAGCACUACAAGGGGUGGAGCGUGCGGUUUAAUUGGAUUCAACGCCGGGAACCUCACCGGGGGCGACGGCAGGAUGAAGGCCAGGCUGAAGGUCUUGCCGGACACGCCGAGAGGAGGUGCAUGGCCGCCGUCAGCUCGUACCGUGAGGCGUCCACUUAAGUGUGGUAACGAGCGAGACCCGCGCCCCCAGUUGCCAGUCCUCCCCGCUGGGGAGGAGGCACUCUGGGGGGACCGCCGGCGAUAAGCCGGAGGAAGGAGCGGGCGACGGUAGGUCAGUAUGCCCCGAAACCCCCGGGCUACACGCGCGCUACAAUGGGCGGGACAAUGGGAUCCGACCCCGAAAGGGGAAGGGAAUCCCCUAAACCCGCCCUCAGUUCGGAUCGCGGGCUGCAACUCGCCCGCGUGAAGCUGGAAUCCCUAGUACCCGCGUGUCAUCAUCGCGCGGCG